rnacentral:misc_RNA from 1 species
AAACUAUGAUUCUAUUCACAUGCGGCAUUGCUACUUCAAUUGAAAAAAAAAAAGUAAAGUGAAUUGUGCGCAUUGAAAAUUUAAUGGGUAAAUUUCACUCAUGGUACAUGAAUUUUAGGAUUGGCAACAGCAUGAUACAUAAACUUUAAAUUUUCACUUAAAACCUCCCAAAUUAUAAUAAAAGUAACUUUAAACUCCAUGUAACCUGCAAUAGCUGGUUUAAAGGUAAAAUGGUGACAUAAUAUAUUUUUUCUUUCUACUCUACUGUGUAUUCCCUCACACUCUCUCUCAACUUUAUUUUGUUUUUCUCUCUUGCAUUCAAUACCUUCUUUAUCCUCUCGGCUCCUUCUUCAUCUUCUCUCACGACUUUGAAGAGAACUUCAUCCAUUAUUUAUUUAACAAUUUCUUUUACUUCUUCGGGAUGUGAAGACUUUAGUUUAUAGAAAUGCUUCAAGCUGCAAAGUAUACUAUAUCAGAAUUAUGGUUUGGUAAAGGAGCAGGAUGUAUUGCAUUUGCCAUUCACCCAAAGAGAAAAAAAAAU